rnacentral:pre_miRNA from 1 species
ACAACAUUUGGACCUACCGAACAAUAUCACCCGCUCGGUGGAAGAUCUUCCCUUUGUCGU